rnacentral:sRNA from 17 species
UAUCGAGGAACGCGGACUAAGUACGCCACGUCGUAUGGCAACGUCCUCAUGACCCGCUUCCUGCGGG